AACGUAGGAGACAAACGUUAUCCGGAGUUACUGGGCGUAAAGGGCGUGUAGGUGGUUCUGUAAGUUCGGCGUGAAAUAUCUCGGCUUAACCGGGACAGGUCGUCGGAUACUGCAAGACUAGAGGACGGUAGAGGCGUGUGGAAUUCCGGGUGUAGUGGUGAAAUGCGUAGAGAUCCGGAGGAACACCAGUGGCGAAGGCGACACGCUGGGCCGUACCUGACACUGAGGCGCGAUAGCAUGGGGAGCAAACAGG
rnacentral:rRNA from 1 species